UACGUAGGGGGCAAGCGUUGUCCGGAUUUAUUGGGCGUAAAGAGCGUGUAGGCGGCUAGGUAGGUCCGUUGUGAAAACUCGAGCUCAACCUCGAGACGCCGGUGGAAACCAUCUAGCUAGAGUCCGGAAGAGGAGAGUGGAAUUCCUGGUGUAGCGGUGGAAAUGACGCAGAUAUCAGGAAGAACACCCGUGGCGAAGGCGGCUCUCUGGGACGUGACUGACGCUGAGACGCGAAAGCGUGGGGAGCGAACAGGG
rnacentral:rRNA from 1 species